rnacentral:rRNA from 1 species
ACGAUCAGUAGGGGUUCUGAGAGGAAGGUCCCCCACAUUGGAACUGAGACACGGUCCAAACUCCUACGGGAGGCAGCAGUGAGGAAUAUUGGUCAAUGGACGGAAGUCUGAACCAGCCAAGUAGCGUGCAGGAUGACGGCCCUAUGGGUUGUAAACUGCUUUUGUAUGGGGAUAAAGUCAAUCACGUGUGAUUGUUUGCAGGUACCAUACGAAUAAGGACCGGCUAAUUCCGUGCCAGCAGCCGCGGUAAUACGGAAGGUCCAGGCGUUAUCCGGAUUUAUUGGGUUUAAAGGGAGCGUAGGCUGGAGAUUAAGUGUGUUGUGAAAUGUAGACGCUCAACGUCUGACUUGCAGCGCAUACUGGUUUCCUUGAGUACGCACAACGUUGGCGGAAUUCGUCGUGUAGCGGUGAAAUGCUUAGAUAUGACGAAGAACUCCGAUUGCGAAGGCAGCUGACGGGAGCGCAACUGACGCUUAAGCUCGAAGGUGCGGGUAUCGAACAGGAUUAGAUACCCUGGUAGUCCGCACAGUAAACGAUGGAUGCCCGCUGUUGGUACCUGGUAUCAGCGGCUAAGCGAAAGCAUUAAGCAUCCCACCUGGGGAGUACGCCGGCAACGGUGAAACUCAAAGGAAUUGACGGGGGCCCGCACAAGCGGAGGAACAUGUGGUUUAAUUCGAUGAUACGCGAGGAACCUUACCCGGGCUUGAAUUGCAGAGGAAGGAUUUAGAGAUAAUGACGCCCUUCGGGGUCUCUGUGAAGGUGCUGCAUGGUUGUCGUCAGCUCGUGCCGUGAGGUGUCGGCUUAAGUGCCAUAACGAGCGCAACCCCUGUCUUUAGUUGCCAUCAGGUGAUGCUGGGCACUCUGGAGAUACUGCCACCGUAAGGUGUGAGGAAGGUGGGGAUGACGUCAAAUCAGCACGGCCCUUACGUCCGGGGCUACACACGUGUUACAAUGGCCGGUACAGAGGGACGGUGUAAUGUAAAUUGCAUCUAAUCUUGAAAGCCGGUCCCAGUUCGGACUGGGGUCUGCAACCCGACCCCACGAAGCUGGAUUCGCUAGUAAUCGCGCAUCAGCCAUGGCGCGGUGAAUACGUUCCCGGGCCUUGUACACACCGCCCGUCAAGCCAUGAAAGCCGGGGGUGCCUGAAGUCCGUGACCGCAAGGAUCGGCCUAGGGCAAAACUGGUGAUUGGGGCUAAGUCGUAACAAGGUAGCCGUACCGGAAGGUGCGGCUG